GAUGAAGAACGUAGCGAAAUGCGAUAAGUAAUGUGAAUUGCAGAAUUCAGUGAAUCAUCGAAUGUUUGAACGCACAUUGCGCCCGCUAGUAUUCUGGCGGGCAUGCCUGUCCGAGCGUCAUUUCAACCCUCAAGCCCCCGGGCUUGGUGUUGGGGAUCGGCGAGCCUCCGCGCCCGCCGUCCCCUAAAUCUAGUGGCGGUCUCGCUGUAGCUUCCUCUGCGUAGUAGCACACCUCGCACUGGGAAACAGCGCGGCCACGCCGUUAAACCCCCAACUUCUGAACGUUUGACCUCGGAUCAGGUAGGAAUACCCGCUGAACUUAAGCAUAUCAAUAAGCGGAGGA
rnacentral:misc_RNA from 1 species